UACGGGGGGAGCAAGCGUUGUUCGGAUUUACUGGGCGUAAAGGGCGCGUAGGCGGUUUAUUAAGUCGGCUGUGAAAGCCCGGGGCUCAACCCCGGAGGGUCGGCCGAUACUGGCAAGCUAGAGUACAGAAGAGGUAGCUGGAAUUCCCGGUGUAGCGGUGAAAUGCGUAGAUAUCGGAAGGAACACCUGAGGCGAAGGCGGGCUACUGGGCUGAUACUGACGCUGAUGCGCGAAAGCCAGAGGAGCAAACGGG
rnacentral:rRNA from 1 species